UAACUCUCAAACAAGAUAGAUUUAUUUCUAUUUCUGUUUGGAUUUGGGCUCUGCUGUGUCAAUGCGGCUGGUCCUAAAUAUAUUAGCUGGUCUUAGUGCAGGUUUGGUUCUACUCAGCAUGAUAAUUAUCUGAUGUUGAGGACAGUCUUAAGGCUGGCCAGGCUCUCUCUAGAUUGCUUCUAAUCGUCUUUGGACAAUUUAUUAAAU
rnacentral:misc_RNA from 1 species